rnacentral:lncRNA from 1 species
GUGUCCCUCGCCGUGCUUCUUCUCCUUCUUCUUCUUCUUGUCCUUCUUCUCCUUGUGGUCCUUGUGGUCCUUGUGCUCGCCGGACUUGUCGCCGUGCUCGCCGGUGAUCUUGUCCUUGAUCUUGUCGACGAUGCCCUCCUUGUGCUCCCCGUCCUUCUUGUGGUGCUCCUCGGCCUUCUUGUGCGCCUCCGCCUUCUUGUGCUCCUCCUCCUUCUUGUGGUCGCCCCCCAUGUGGAGGGUCUCCUCGAUCUUGUGGAUGAUGCCCGACAUGGCGAUGCUUCUCUUUUUUGCUCGAGAGGGAAGUGGCGAUGGAGAUGCGGUGCGGUGGUGUGAUCUGCCCUUGGCUCUCCGGCGCCGGUAUUUAUAGAGCGCCGAGGUGGUCCGUGACUUGCGGUGGGGUGUGUGAAGAAAUGGAAGGCCGAUCGGAUAAGAAGGACGUGAUGGCACUAAAUAAAGCAGAAAAAUGAAUUGAAGGC